UACGUAGGGUGCAAGCGUUUGUCCGGAAUUAUUGGGCGUAAAAGAGCUCGUAGGCGGUUCGUCGCGUCGGCUGUGAAAUCCCGGAGCUCAACUCCGGGUCUGCAGUCGAUACGGGCGGACUUGAGUACUGCAGGGGAGACUGGAAUUCCUGGUGUAGCGGUGAAAAUGCGCAGAUAUCAGGAGGAACACCGGUGGCGAAGGC
rnacentral:rRNA from 1 species